rnacentral:lncRNA from 1 species
UUUGAGACAGAAUUUCACUCUCGUUGUCCAGGCUAUAGUGCAAUCAAGCUCUCUCAGCUCACUGCAACCUCCAUCUCCCAGGUUCAAGCAAUUUUCCUGCCUCAGCCUCCCAAGUAGCUGAGAUUAAAGGUGCCCGCCACCACGCCUGGCUAAUUUUUGUAUUUUUAGUAGAGACGGGGUUUCACCAUGUUAACCGGGCUGGUCUCGAACUCCUGAUCUCACUCAAACAGCUGGGAUUACAGGUGUGAGCCUCGGCGCGCGGCCUUUUAGAGGCAUAAAGCAGCAGCAGCUGAAGUUUGAGCUCUAGUGGAAAAUACAUCUAUUCUUUGCUGACCCCUAGUGUCCACAGUAAGUAAACGUGAAAUCCAAAACCCCUAAAGGAAAAACAUGGCAGUUUGAGAAAUGACAUUUUGUUUCAUCCAAAACACAAAAGAAAGAAAAAAUGUGUUCCAAAAUAAAAUAAUUCGCCUUCUGUAAAUUAUAUAGUUAGCACAGAAACAUACAUAGAGAAUGAAACAGAUACAUUCAAAUUCAGCUUCUGCUUUUUUGAUAGAGGGUAAAUCUGAGGAAGACGUUUCAAGGUUAUAGAGCACCAUCUGAAUUGUUUUGUGGGAACCAUUUCUUUCUCUUUGGCUACACUGGCCUCAAAUAUUUUCUACAAGUUUGUGAAGAUAAUCAUUGGGUUUUCAAAUCUUUCCAGCACUACCCAACCACCACUCUGGGCAGCAACACCACCAUCACUAGGAUAAACAGCCUUGUAGACCAUGACCACCGGCUGGGAGCAAGAAACAGGCCAAGAAAUAUGACGCAAUGAGCAAAACGGCCAUUUUUAUCACAUGCAGAAGUUUCCCACACCAUGAGGUUCUUCUCACCAGGCAGUGCUACCUGAUGCAUGGUGAGUGACAACAGGGUUAUGGUGAGAACCAAAAUGAGAAAGAUGUAUGUCCGUAAUACUUUAUCUUGGAAGUAAGGAAAGAACUGGGUCUAUUCCUCAAUUUCUUCAUUCCUUGCAAUGUAAACAACAUAUUUUCUAAAACCAGUAUUGUUAAACCAACUUUAGUGAGAUAUGAUUUACAUUCAAUAAAGGGAACUCAUUUUAAGCACAUAAUUAAAAAGUUUUAAAAAUGUAUAUGUCAGUGAAUCUACC